rnacentral:rRNA from 1 species
UUGGAGGGCAAGUCUGGUGCCAGCAGCCGCGGUAAUUCCAGCUCCAAUAGCGUAUAUUAAAGUUGUUGCAGUUAAAAAGCUCGUAGUUGAAUUUCGGGAUCAGUUUGUUGGUCGUGCCUCGGUACGUACUGGCAUUAUUGGUUUCUACCUUCUGAAGAACCUUGAUGUCAUUAAUUUGGUGUCUUGGGGAAUCAGGACUGUUACUUUGAAAAAAUUAGAGUGUUUAAAGCAGGCAUACGCUUGAAUACAUUAGCAUGGAAUAAUGAAAUAGGACGUUUGAUUCUAUUUUGUUGGUUUCUAGGAUCGACGUAAUGAUUAAUAGGGAUAGUUGGGGGCAUUAGUAUUCAAUUGUCAGAGGUGAAAUUCUUGGAUUUAUUGAAGACUAACUACUGCGAAAGCAUUUGCCAAGGAUGUUUUCAUUAAUCAAGAACGAAAGUUAGGGGAUCGGAGACGAUCAGAUACCGUCGUAGUCUUAACCAUAAACUAUGCCGACUAGGGAUCGGAUGAUGUUAUUUUUAAUGACUCAUUCGGCGCCUUACGGGAAACCAAAGUGUUUGGGUUC